rnacentral:rRNA from 1 species
GAUGAACGCUGGCGGCGUGCCUAAUACAUGCAAGUCGAGCGAAGCGGGGACGGGUGAGUAACACGUGGAUAACCUCCUAUAAGACUGGGAUAACUUCGGGAAACCGGAGCUAAACCGGAUAUUUAUGGUUGGAUCCGCGCUGCAUUAGCUGGUUGGUAAGUUAACGGCUUACAAAGGCAACGAUGCAUAGCCGACCUGAGAGGUGGAUCGGCAAACCUGGAACGAGAAAACGGUCAGGACUCCUAGGGAGGGCAGAAGUAGGGAACCUUCCGCAAUGGGCGAAGGCCUGACGGAGCAAGGCGGCGGAAGGGAUGAAGGUCUUCGGAUCGAAAAACUCUGUUAUUAGGGAAGCGGUACCUAAUCAGAAAGCCACGGCUAACUACGUGCCAGCAGCCGCGGUAAUAC